rnacentral:rRNA from 1 species
GUGGGGAAUCUUGCACAAUGGGCGAAAGCCUGAUGCAGCCAUGCCGCGUGUGUGAAGAAGGCCUUCGGGUUGUAAAGCACUUUAAGCGGGGAGAAAAGGGUAGUAGCUAACAUCUGCUAUCUGUGAUGUUACCCGCAGAAUAAGCACCGGCAAACUUCGUGCCAGCAGCCGCGGUAAUACGAAGGGUGCGAGCGUUAAUCGGAAUUACUGGGCGUAAAGAGCACGUAGGCGGUUUGAUAAGCGGAAUGUGAAAGCCCCGGGCUUAACCUGGGAACUGCAUCCCGAACUGUCAGGCUAGAGUAUGAUAGAGGUGAGCGGAAUUUCCUGUGUAGCGGUGAAAUGCGUAGAUAUAGGAAGGAACAUCAGUUGCGAAGGCGGCUCACUGGAUCAAUACUGACGCUGAGGUGCGAAAGCGUGGGUAGCGAACAGGAUUAGAAACCCUAGUAGUCC